GCUGCCCCGCCCCCGAGCCACGAGCCCUGGGCCCAGGAAGCCUCUGGUGCCCCACCACCACCACCACCACAAACCUUAGCGCCCUCCACCCACUUUGGGGAAAUUUCAGCCUUAAAGAAAGGAGGUCGUGCCCUGCCCCCCCCCCCCAUCUUCCCCUCCUGCCAACAGGGAGAUUCUUCCAUAGGAGCCAUGGAUGGAGAAAAGAUGCCGGGCCUAGCGCGUUUGGGGAUCCUCUCUGGACAAGGCCACAGAGUGAAAACACCAGAUGCAUUUGUCCAGGGCAAGACAGAAUACGCUUUGACAGCCUCUUUCAAGACCCCUGCCCCAAGUCUUCAGAAAAGCAGCCCUCACUAGGAGCCUCCAUGCUGUUUUAAAGAAGCAGACUCCCCACUCACCCUCCAGUUCCCUUCCAGGAGGUCAUCCUCCCUGAAAUUUCUGGAAAAGAUAAACCUCCUCUUCUCUGCUAGAGGUUGGGGGGUGGUGUCCUUCCAGGUCCCCAGUAAAGCCAUGUAAGACAGGGGCAAGGGAUCUCACGGCCUGUUCUUGCUAUAAAAAGCCCUUUUUCGGAAAAAAUAAUAAAGAAAGAAAUCAGCCAAUCGCUCCUC